rnacentral:lncRNA from 1 species
CUGAGGAUUAUUAAAAAAAAAAAAAAGUCUCCAGUGAUUUCCUUCAUUUCAUUCCCGUCUGCCUCUCCACCUGAAAUUGGGAACCCUAGAAUCACACCUCCGUCAACCUCCGACUGGGGCCACUAUCCUUCUCAACCUUCGACCGACGAUUUUAAAUGUGGCCAGAUUUGCAAUCAUCGAAAGCACAGUGAAAUCGGGUCCUUCAUCUUCACCACCGUCCACAAACGCCGCAUUCUUGGUCGACUCAGUCCACAACAGCUAGGUAUCUUCACCUUCGUCCACGAACGCCAACUGAUUUCCACCGUCGACAAUUAACUCAGUCCACAGCAACAAUAUUCUUUGUCAAACGUUGUGAAAAAGGAAGUUUAGAAAAUUGUGAAAAAUGGUGAAAAAGGUUUUGAAGAACGAUUUGAAGCUUGUUCAGUAUGCAACUGUUGUGAGAAUCAAACAAAUUCCCUAUUCUCUGUAAAUUGUGAAACUUGUGAAAAACGUUUUGAAGUUUGUUCAAUAUGUAAUUGCUGUGAGAAACUAGUGUAAUUCCCUUUUCUCUGUAAAUUGUUGGGAGAAACAAGUGUAAUCUUCUUGCUGUAUUUUAUUAUUUUUUUGCUAUAUCUCUCAAAUUGUGGAGUCCAGUCAACCAACCAUUUUAACACUUGUAAAUGGAUACUACAAUUUUGGGAGUCCAGUAAACUAUUUUGACACUAGUAAAUGGAUACUGCAAUUUUGGUUGCUAUUAGUUUUCUGUUGCUUAAAUUGCGUAAAUGGAUACUACAAUUUUUUUUUUUUUUUUUUUUUGACUGGGGAUGCCUACACAUUGUGCUCCAAAGUUGCAAAAGAAAAAUCGAAGAAAAAAGCUAGAGAAGAAAGUGGACUCGGCAAUUUCCAUAUGUGGGUAAGACAACUCUUGAGUGGACUGAAGAAGAGAGUGAAGCUACUCGAUUGGAAAAGGAAAUCAGCUCCUCCAAGAGAGUGGUUGGAGAAGAGAAUGCCGAUCGCUCAAAUAGCCAAUGCUCAGCUCCGGUGCUCGUGAGGUUGGAGAUGAAGUGGAGUAGCUAAUUUCCCCACUUCAAUUUUCAAUUUUAUCGCAUCCAGUUUCGGGGAUAAUGAAGUCGGCUUUGGCGGGUUAUGAGGUAAAACAUAGAGGAUUUCCCUCUUUUUUUCUCCAGCCACGUCACUAUUUUUACAAAUUCUGUAAGCAUUCUGUGAGAUUCAAUCUGUACAUCUAGCUUUAUUGAUGGGCGGAACUCGAAACCAGAUUCCAACUGAGCAACCGAACUACCAUUUUUCGUCUAAAAAGAGAUCUUGCAACCUAUCAGUGACAGAUUACUACGGCAAACUGAAGGCUCUCUUAGAAGAACUUUCUCUCUUCAAUCGGCCACUCCAUGCUCCUGCGGUGCUGCCAAAAAAUUCUCAGAACUCCAGUCCUCUAAUCAAGUGUACCAGUUUUAAUGGGUCUCAAUGAAUCUUAUCAUCAAUUGAGAUCCUAGAUUUUGGCCGUGGAUCCGUUGCCGUCGUUAACCCGUUGUUAUGCUAUCAUUCACCAAGAGGAGACCCAGAGCCUGUUAAAUGUGUCUCCUUCCCGAUCUGUUGCUGCAGCUUUUCUUUCCAAAGCACUGAGUCAACCUCCUACAUCUCAGCCCCAUCCUAAGAAGGUUUGGCCUCCUGAUAGUCCCUUAUGCUCUGAGUGUGGAAAAAUCAGUCACCCCCGUUCCAAAUGCUUCGAAGACAUUGAGUAUCCUGACUAGUGACCGAAUAAGCAAAAGAAACCAAAUUCGACUUCGGCAGUAAACAGUCCCAACUCUUCCUGCCUAUAUAACCAAUUAAUGGAACUUCUGCAGCCGACGUCCCUUGCUUUCUCAGGUUUAUCCCAUUCUCCCUCUUCCAAUUUACCAUUCUGCCCUUGGAUAAUAGACAAUGGUGCUACGCACCAUAUUUCUGCCUCUUCCUUCAGUUCUAGCUCUCCAACUAUCACUCACCCUAUUUCUGUCAAUCUUCCUACAGGAACCAGUGUUAAUGUCACUUCAACUGGUGAUAUUAAUCUGUCUCCUUCCCCCACCUUUCAUAAUGCUCUUUGUGCUCGUGAAUUUAAAUUCAAUUUAAUAUCUAUUAGCCAAUUAACUAAAUCUCUAAAUGGUAUCGUUUCUUUUUUCCCUAACUUUUGUGUCUUUCAGGACCUAACGGCAAAGACGCUAAUUGAAGUGGGUGAAGAGCGCGAUGACCUCUACUAUUUUAAACCUGCAAUUGCCUCGUCUUUCCAAACCACUGUAUCUUUUACAGUCUGGCAUAGACGGUUAGGUCAUCCAUCCAUUAAUAAUGUUCCUAGUUUUAUUUCUCGUCCUAAGAUUUUGGAACAUUGUGAUAGUUGUGCUCGUGGAAAGCACACUCGUUUACCUUUUCAAUUGGUUUCAAAUAAAAGUGCCAUGCCUUUUGAACGCAUAUAUUGUGAUAUUUGGAGUGAAUACCAUACUGCCUCUUUAUGCGGUGCACAUUAUUUUUUGACGAUUGUGAACAAAUUUUCUAGAGUUACGUGGUUAUAUCUCAUGCGUUUUAAAUAUGACACAUUAUCUUGUCUCAAAUCUUUUAUUGCCAUGGUACAUAACCAAUUUAAUUCUAAAGUUCAACACAUCCAGACAGACAAUGGUCAAGAAUUUGUUGCACGCUCCGCACAAGAAUUUUUUUCCGAACAUGGCAUUUUGCAUUAGCGUACUUGUGUGGAAACACCUCAACAAAAUGGCGUAGCCGAACGAAAACACCAUCACAUCCUUAAUGUAGCAUGUUGCCUUCGUUUUCAGGCUCAUAUACCUUUAAAGUUUUGGGGUGAAUGUGUACUCACUGCCACUUAUCUCAUCAAUCGUACCCCAUCAUCCUCUCUCCAAAACAAAACCCCUUUUGAACGUCUUUUUAAUCAAAUUCCCCGUUAUGACCAUCUACGAGUAUUUGGUUGUUUAUGUUAUGUUAAAACUCUUGCUGCUCAUCGUGAUAAAUUUCAACCUCGAGCCAACCCAUGUAUUUUUUAGGCUACCUUCCUACCCAUAGUGGUUAUCGCCUUUACAACCUUGAACUACAAAAAAUCGUCAUUUCUUGUGACGUUUCUUUGUAGAACAUAUUUUCCCUUUUCUGUUCCUUACACCACCCACCAAUCCUUCCCUCGUCCUACUACUACCUAUACCCGAAACAUAUCUACACCAUCUCCAAAUAAUCCUUUACCCUCAAACCUCCCAUUACCAUCACAUUCCCAACCACCACCACCUCCUCCUCCUCUCCGUCCUCGUCGUACUAUAAAUCGGCCAUCCCACUUAAGUUAUUAUAUUUGCCCCACCUUACCCAAUCUACCUACUGCGUCCUCUCCACGCCCAAUCACGUCUUCAGGUACGGCUCAUCCUUUAGCUAAUUUUAUUUCUUAUACAAAAUUCUCUCUAUCUCAUUGUGCUUUUUUAUUUGUGCUAUCUAACUCUGUUGAUCCAUCCAGCUACUCUCAAGCUUUGAAGCAUUUACAUUGGCGUGAUGCUAUGUAGACUGAGAUUUAAGCUCUUGAAACUAAUAAAACUUGGAUUCUUACAGCCCUUCCUCCUGGAAAGAAGCCCAUUGAUUGCAAAUGGGUCUUUAAAACUAAACUUCAUGCAGAUGGUUCUAUUGAGCAUCAUAAAACUCGGCUGGUUGCAAAGGGAUACACUCAAGUUGAGGGUCUUGACCAUCACGAGACUUUUGUCCCUGUCGCCAAGCUUGUUACUGUUCGUUGUGUCCUAGCCAGUGUUGCAGCCCGCCAUUGCCAUUUCUAUCAAUUGGAUGUUAAUAAUGCUUUCCUCUAUGGUGACCUUGGUGAAGAAGUAUACAUGACCUUGCCACCUGGGUAUGGCCGUAAGGGGGAUAAGUG